UACAGAGGUCUCAAGCGUUGUUCGGAUUCAUUGGGCGUAAAGGGUGCGUAGGCGGCGCGGUAAGUCGGGUGUGAAAUUUCGAGGCUUAACUUCGAAACUGCAUUCGAUACUGCCGUGCUUGAGGACUGGAGAGGAGACUGGAAUUUACGGUGUAGCGGUGAAAUGCGUAGAUAUCGUAAGGAAGACCAGUGGCGAAGGCGGGUCUCUGGACAGUUCCUGACGCUGAGGCACGAAG
rnacentral:rRNA from 1 species